rnacentral:ncRNA from 1 species
UUUUAAACUAUGAUAGAGAGAGUAGAUAUAGGAAUUUUCAAAGGGAGAAAAAGUCGUAGAUUGAAAGCUUUUUCAAAAGGAAUAUAUUGAAGUUCACUCUGGAGUUCUAAUUGUGAAUUUAGUAGCAAUUAGCGGCAUAUGUCGAUAAAAGUUUGAGAGAACUGAAAGAUUUAUUCAGUUAAUAAGGGUGGUAACGCGGAAUAACUUCGUCCCUAGG